CGUGGGUGUACUGGAAUGAGAAUUAGGAGGUUGUGUACUAUGGCUGUGAGGUGGUGGCGAAGUCUCUUCCCUUUGGCUUUCAUCCUGACAAACGGGACUGCGUAGAUGCGCAUAACCUCCUAUAAAAGUAAAUUAUAAGAUGGAUAAGCUACAUAGAACAGACUAUGGCCUGAAAUCUCCUGCUCUACGAAGCGUGUAAUUCUGACCUUGCUUGGUAGAUUUUAUUGCCAAGUCAACGAGAGCCGCACCUUAUGCGGCAAUCUAUGUGUAUUGCGUAUAAACACAUCUAGACAUUAAAAAUAUGUUAUAUUGUUUUGUUACGAGCCAUUGUGGGUGUACAUCGAAAUUGAUCGAAAAUGAACUCUCGUAUUUGAAUUCAGUAUACGUUACUAAGAACUUCAACAACGAUUGGAAUGGAUUAUCCAUCUUUUACGAAUUACGAAUUGUAGUUCGAAAUAAUGAAUAAUAAUUGUUUAAAAAAUAUGAUCGAGAGAUAAAAGGUAUUUUCGAUUUUACGUAUAUAAACUCAAUGCUAAAACUAAAAAUCUCAUCGAAUGUGGAUUUGUGGAAAUUAAACAUAAUCAUUGUUUCGUGUCCUCUAUCGUCACAAGAUCAAAUUGACUUCACGUAACUGUUAAUAAAUUCUGUCAAAAGUGCCAUUUCAUUUAAUGAAUUGAUAUUCAUUCAUAAAAAUGUUAUAUGCGAAUCUAUCGGAUAUCUACUUUUAAUAAAUAGAAAUAAUAAAUA